rnacentral:rRNA from 1 species
UGGAAGUAAAAGUGGUAACAAGGUUUCCGUAGGUAGAGUUUUGCCUACUACAGCGGUUCCCUUACCGCUAGUCUCCUCGCGAGGCAACACGCGCAAUGUGCCGGAGAGCCCCUGCUUGCAGGGCAAUCCGCAGUGACUUUUUAAAAGUCAUUCAGAGACUAAAUACGCGUGGGUUCGGCGCUGCCGAGCUUAAGAUAUAGCCCGUCCCUGCUGGAAACGGUAGGGGUCAAACGGAACCUGCGGAAGGAUCAUUAAAGAAUACAGGCUUCACGGCCGCUAUAUUCUCACCCUUUGUUAACUACACUUUGUUGCCUUGGCGCCUAGCGCCAGUGGACCAAAACCCUUGAAUCAUUGCUGUCUGAGUACUAUAUAAUAGUUAAAACUUUCAACAACGGAUCUCUUGGUUCUGGCAUCGAUGAAGAACGCAGCGAAAUGCGAUAAGUAAUGUGAAUUGCAGAAUUCAGUGAAUCAUCGAAUCUUUGAACGCACAUUGCGCCCCCUGGCAUUCCGGGGGGCAUGCCUGUUCGAGCGUCAUUACAACCCUCAAGCUCUGCUUGGUAUUGGGCUCGCCCCGUAGGGCCUGCCUCAAAAUCAGUGGCGGCCACUGUCCGACCCUUGAGCGCAGUACUACUCGUGGCUCGUAGGAGGAUGGGAAGCCGUUAUACAACCCCCACCAUACAAGGUUGACCUCGGAUCAGGUAGGGAUACCCGCUGAACUUAAGCAUAUCAAUAGCCGGAGGAA